AUACGUAGGGGACGAGCGUUGUCCGGAAUUACUGGGCGUAAAGGGCGCGCAGGCUGUAGAUCAAGUCAGCUGUGAAAUGUCUGGGCUUAACCCGGGCAUGCGGUUGAAACUGAUGUACUGGAGUGCUGUAGAGGCAAGUGGAAUUCCCAGUGUAGCGGUGAAAUGCGUAGAUAUUGGGAAGAACACCGGUGGCGAAGGCGACUUGCUGGGCAGCAACUGACGCUGAGGCGCGAAAGCCAGGGGAGC
rnacentral:rRNA from 1 species